rnacentral:pre_miRNA from 1 species
CCUUACGUAUUCAACUCAAGUCGAGCUCAAGCCUAGUAAAACUUGGCUUAGCUUGGCUUGGUUCAUUUCCACCCCUAGUAGCAAUCCACCGACAUGCAUGUGGC